AAAUAAAAAAAUAUUUUGUUAGAAAAUAUAUUUGAAAAUGUGAUUAGUUACAAUCCCAGAGGUUCAGGAGCUCUCCAAGCAAACUCCACAGCUGAAGACUUCGAUUUCAUGGCGGCAAAGCAAUCAGGUUUCAUCAUCUGAGACAUAUACAAUGGAGCCUGUACAUUUGAGUGGACGCACUUUGCUCAAGGGAAGGGUGAGUACUCAGGAGAUUUUCCAUUUAUCCAAUUCUGACUUGGUCCCUGGUAAAUAUGAGGGAUUUAUGUUGAGGAUUUGCAUAAUGUAGGGGGACUAAAACUGUGAGAAGGUUCACUAGAUUUAGUUAAAACUCUGCAAUCAGAGGUGCAAGAUGGUCAAUUAUUACUUACUGGAAAGCAGGUUUUAGAGGUGAGCUCCUAUUACUAAAGUGACCUCUAUUCUCUAACGCUAUGAUGCAUAAACAUGUUUGAAAUUGAGAUGAAUUUGGCUACAAUGAAACAUUUCUAUAUUGUAUGCCAUAUAUAUGCAUUACAUAUGUUUUAUCAUUGCAUGUCUUUUUGUAGGUCUAUCACAUGGCAAUGCGGCUGUUUGUUAUAUUAGUUGGGGUUGUGAUGAGUCUAUCCUAAGCAGGGGCAUACAAACCACCAAGUAUGUUAGCUUGGCUAGCUAACAUGCUCAAUGCCUUAACUUUGAGCCAUGGCACCACAAGAUGAGCCAACAUAGGGCAUCCCGAGGCGUGGCCAGAGCACCACUCAAUUGUGUUGAGGGUCCAAGGCAUCCCUGCUCGACUAACUCUGCCCCUCAAUUGUGUUGAGGGGCAACAUGGCUCUGCAUCUCAUUUGGCUUGGCUGAGGGGUCCUUCACCAGACCAUGACCCCACUAUGUCUCGUCUUCUCUUUCUCCGUAAAGCUGUCUCCUACUGAUCAAGACAUCUCCAAUACCAUCAUCCAAUGAUGACCUAGGUUGAGUGUUGGGCCUAGGAAUCCUUGUCUGGGGGAUCACUCUAGGUAUGUGGGUUAGAGGUUAGAGUUAGGGAUUCAUUUUGGUGCCUUUCCAUCCCCCUACCCUGAUGGUGUCUGCACCUUGAUCAAUCUGAGA